GGCUUAGAGUUUGAUCAUGGCUCAGGACGAACGCUGGCGGCGUGCUUUAUACAUGCAAGUCGAACGAGAAUCCGGACUUCGGUCUGGAGGAAAGUGGCGGACGGGUGAGUAAAAUGUAGAGAAUCUGCCCUUGAGCGGGGGACAACAGCUGGAAACGGUUGCUAAUACCCCAUAUGAGGUUAUUUGAAAUAGUAAUCUUGAAAACUCCGGUGCUCAAGGAUGAGUCUGCAUCUGAUUAGCUAGUUGGUGGUGUAAUGGACUACCAAGGCGAUGAUCAGUAGCUGGUUUGAGAGGAUGAUCAGCCACAAUGGGACUGAGACACGGCCCAUACUCCUACGGGAGGCAGCAGUAGGGAAUUUUGCGCAAUGGGGGAAACCCUGACGCAGCAACGCCGCGUGAUCGAUGAAGCCCUUCGGGGUGUAAAGAUCUGUCAGUGGGGACGAAACCUGACGGUACCCACAGAGGAAGCACCGGCUAACUCCGUGCCAGCAGCCGCGGUAAUACGGGGGGUGCAAGCGUUGUCCGGAAUCAUUGGGCGUAAAGAGUUCGUAGGUGGUAUGUUAAGUCUGGUGUUAAAGGCAGAAGCUCAACUUCUGUAGGGCACUGGAUACUGGCAAACUAGAAUGCGGUAGAGGUAAAGGGAAUUCCUGGUGUAGCGGUGAAAUGCGUAGAUAUCAGAGGAACAUCGGUGGCGUAAGCGCUUUACUGGGCCGUAAUUGACACUGAGGAACGAAAGCCGGGGUAGCAAUGGGAUUAGAUACCCCAGUAGUCCCGGCGUAAACGAUGGAUACUAGUGUUGCGGGUAUCGACCCUGCAGUGCCGUAGCACGCGAUAGUAUCCCGCUGGGAGUACGCACGCAGUGUGAAA
rnacentral:rRNA from 1 species